rnacentral:rRNA from 1 species
CCUACGGGGUGCAGCAGUGGGGAAUAUUGGACAAUGGGCGAAAGCCUGAUCCAGCCAUGCCGCGUGUGUGAAGAAGGCCUUCGGGUUGUAAAGCACUUUCAGUGGGGAAGAAAGCCUUGGGGCUAAUACCCUCGAGGAAGGACAUCACCCACAGAAGAAGCACCGGCUAACUCCGUGCCAGCAGCCGCGGUAAUACGGAGGGUGCGAGCGUUAAUCGGAAUUACUGGGCGUAGAGCGCGCGUAGGCGGUCUGAUAAGCCGGUUGUGAAAGCCCCGGGCUCAACCUGGGAACGGCAUCCGGAACUGUCAGGCUAGAGUGCAGGAGAGGAAGGUAGAAUUCCCGGUGUAGCGGUGAAAUGCGUAGAGAUCGGGAGGAAUACCAGUGGCGAAGGCGGCCUUCUGGACUGACACUGACGCUGAGGUGCGAAAGCGUGGGUAGCAAACAGGAUUAGAUACCCCAGUAGUC